AGUGAACGCUGGCGGUAGGCCUAACACAUGCAAGUCGAACGGCAGCACAGUAAGAGCUUGCUCUUACGGGUGGCGAGUGGCGGACGGGUGAGGAAUACAUCGGAAUCUACUUUUUCGUGGGGGAUAACGUAGGGAAACUUACGCUAAUACCGCAUACGACCUACGGGUGAAAGCAGGGGAUCUUCGGACCUUGCGCGAUUGAAUGAGCCGAUGUCGGAUUAGCUAGUUGGCGGGGUAAAGGCCCACCAAGGCGACGAUCCGUAGCUGGUCUGAGAGGAUGAUCAGCCAAACUGGAACUGAGAACCGGUCCAGACCCCAAGGGGAGGCAGCAGGGGGGAAUUUUGGAAAAGGGGCGAAAGCCUGAUCCAGCCAUACCGGGGGGGUGAAGAAGGCCUUCGGGUUGUAAAGCCCUUUUGUUGGGAAAAAAAAGCAGCAGGUUAAUACCCCGCUGUUCUGACGGUACCCAAAGAAUAAGCACCGGCUAACUUCGU
rnacentral:rRNA from 1 species